AAAUCCAACAUCAAGACAACGUCUCAAGCCAACGUCAGAUUGACAUCAAAUACUGAUGUUUAGUCGUCAGGUAUGGCAACCAAAAUCCAAUGUCUUCAAGACGUCAUAAUGGUAACGUCCAAUCAACGUCAAAUUAUAACGUCAUUUGACUUUGAUCUUUAGUUUGUUUUUAGGUUGUGACAUUAACUAACCUAAACCCAACGUCGAGCCAACGUCUCAGGCCAACGUCACAUUGACAUCAAAUACUGAUAUUUAGUCGUCAGGUAUGGCAACCAUAAUCCAACGUUUUCUAGACGUCAUAAUGGCAACGUCCACACAAUGUCAAAUUAUAACAUAAUUUGAUGUUGAUCUGUAGUUAGUUUUAGGUUGUGGCAUUAACUAACCAAAAUCCAACGUCGAGCCAACGUCUCAAGCCAACGUCACAUUGACAUCAAAUACUGAUACUUAGUCGUCAGGUAUGGCAACCAAAAUCCAAUGUCUUCAAGACGUCAUAAUGGUAACGUCCAAUCAACGUCAAAUUAUAACGUCAUUUGACUUU
ensembl:lncRNA